CCUGGGGCUGACGCCCCAGGCUUUAUCCUGUCGCCGCUUUGUGGCU
rnacentral:sRNA from 1 species